GGACAAGGCCGUCUGCGCUCUGCGUCGUGGCAGCUCGAAUUGUCUGGGGGGGAGAAGGACGCACCGAGCGCUUCAGAGCUGUGCGCCCGCAGGAGGUGGAGCCUCCGAGAGCCGAGAGCAGUACCUGACUCACAGGUAAAUGCAGCACAAAGACAAAAGAAAGAGAUGAGUCAAGGAGGAGAACUACAUCACAGGGGUGUGUUGGGGAAGAGGAGGGCACACCGUAAUACUGGGAUGGACGGGGAGGCCGCGUGGUGAUUUUCCACUGUGACGUACCGUGGCGUGGUAAACUUCCAGCACCUUGAUGGCUCCUUCUUUGCUGGGAGUCCCUGAGACGUCCACGGCCUUGAUGUACGCCGAGUCGUAGAAAUUGAUCAGCUCUUUGGAGAUCUGUGGAUUA